ensembl:lncRNA
GAGGAAUUUCAGGAAAAUGGAAGCUUGGAAGUGUGGAGGCCAGUGGCUCACUCAGAGUGCGUCCUGCCUCCUGCUCUCAGGCCACAGGAAUUUCACAGCCAGCACAUGGGUGGCAGCCGGUGCCGCACGACGGCAAGCAAAAGUGAGUUGUGAUUUUUCUCUUUUCCCUUAAAACUUUCCUUCAACUGCUCUUCCCCGUUUAGGAAUCUCAAGUUUCGUCCCUUCCUUGUAGGGAACACAGCAAGGAAUUGCGCCUCGUUUUCUGGAAUCCAGGCUGGACAGCAGCCAUCUCUCCCCUGAGUCCCCCUGAGGAGUCGUGGAGAGCAGCUCCAAGCAGGUUUCCGGUGGUGCGUCUCAAACCCAUGGACAGGAAGCUGAGGUCAUCAGUUGCUUUCUCAUUGCUGUCCGGGGCCACCUACCGCCUCUGCCUCCCGACUGGAUGGAGUUGCCUUUCCUGUAGCCAUCGCCGGUAGACUCCAGAGCCCUGUGGUGUUGGCACUGCCUCCUAUCUAGGGAGCAUCCCAGACCCAGCCUGGGGCUCUGACUCAGCUCUGACUCAGGCCCAGGCCUCAUGACUCCAGACUCCUUCUGCUGCUUCCUGCAUGGCUGGUCUGGAUGCACGUUCAGUGUGUGUGGAAAAUGCGGUGAUGGCCACUUGAACACACCGAGGUCAGCAGCCUGCAGGGCCCCCUGGGGACCCUACAGUCCGGUACUGGGCUUUGGUCCUAACUCUCCUCAGCCACCGGAGGGCACCCCGAAGAUCCACUUAGGAAUCGGCUUUUGCCAUUCACCACUGAGCAUCUCAAGGAAGAGAAUUUGAGGGUCAGGUUCUUCAGUACUUCUCCUUUCUGGGCAGCUGCAGACAGCAAUGGAGAACAAAAGUAGAAUCCAGUCUUGCUGAAUGUGCUAAGUGGUCAGCAGGCCAUGCAGGGCGCCCGAGGCUUCCCCCACCUGCAGCUCUGCUCCACCGGGCCCUGCCACCGUGAAGACUGCGCUGGAGCCAGUGGGCUGUGGACGGGACCCUCUGAAACUCUGCUCCUUCCUCAGGCCCCAAGCCUCAGCGGCUGUGAGGAAGGAGAGCCGUCCCCAGGAAUCUCAGCCUGAAAUCCGGCGAAGCCGCCUCUCUCCGGCUCAGAUCCUUGUCUCUGUGUCACGUUCGCUUGUUCCUUCCUCUCGGGUGUCUGCACUGUGCCUCCCAGGGAUCCAGAACAAGUGCUGUGACAGGUGUGUCCUGGCAGGCACGGGCAGCAGGCCAUGGACAGCACAGCUGUGCGCCAGCUCCCCUCUCCUCACAAUUCAAGUGUUGCGCUGGCCGUGGGGACGCACACCGGCAGUCCCAGCCCUCGGUGGGAGGCUGAGGACGUGGCAGAGCUCAGAGCCAGCCUGGACCACAUCUCACAAAACAAAACAAGAAUCCCUGUUUGGAAGCCCUAACCGCAGGACUUCAGAACGGGAGAGCACUUGGAGGUCCCGGAGGAGGACUCAGCUUGGAGCAGGUUGCGGAGAUGAGCACUAACAGGACGGUGCCCUUCAGAGGGGCGCCGGGGGCCAGGCUCACGAGGAGCCUCUGGAGGACACGUUGGGGAGCCAGGGCUCCGGGUGGAAGGGACGGGACCCGGGCCCUGUUGAUGCAGGCAGAUUCGCCGCAGUGAGUGGCGGAUGGGACCCCGG